GAUGAACGCUAGCGGCAGGCCUAACACAUGCAAGUCGAGGGAGAAGCCUUCGGGCUGAAACCGGCGCACGGGUGCGUAACGCGUAUACAAUCUGCCUUUCACAUAGGGAUAGCCCGAAGAAAUUUGGAUUAAUACCUAAUGGUAUAUAAGAGCGGCAUCGUUUUUAUAUUAAAGCUACGGUGGUGAAAGAUGAGUAUGCGUUCUAUUAGCUAGUUGGAGAGGUAACGGCUCCCCAAGGCGACGAUAGAUAGGGGUUCUGAGAGGGAUGUCCCCCACACUGGUACUGAGAUACGGACCAGACUCCUACGGGAGGCAGCAGUGAGGAAUAUUGGACAAUGGUCGGAAGACUGAUCCAGCCAUGCCGCGUGCAGGAUGAAGGUCCUAUGGAUUGUAAACUGCUUUUGUAAGGGAAGAAUAAGGAGUACGUGUA
rnacentral:rRNA from 1 species